UUACGGAAAGAAUUUAGUGACGCCAUAAUAACGCGACUAUAGGAUCAGGUCCCUUUCCAGGACUUCCGCUCCAUGGUUCCCAUGGUGACGGGAUCCCGAAUCAGCUGCAUCUCCUCCCCUCUGGGUUAAAUAGGUGAUGUAAGAAACAUGUCCUUAAAAAGAGUCAGAUUUGAAAUUACAUUUUUCUACUCAAAGAUUGUUAAAGUCGUGUGAUGGUAACCUUUAUGGAAUGUUGAGCACCUAGAAGCCAAAAGGAACAUGCGUGGCAAAUUUCAAGCUUGUAGGGUUUACGGUGCUGGAGAUUUCGUGAUUAAUGUGUCUGGCAUAAUGCUGAAGAGGAAUACAAACAAUGUUUAUAUUUAAAACAAGUUUAUGGAUAGGAUCUUCAUUCUAGUUCAAAACAGAAAAAAACUUCAUUUUAGUCAAACUACAAAACCUAAUGGAUCUUGAAAUUUAUCUAUAGACUUUAAGUAUACAGGAGAGCAAUGAGAAUUCCCAAAUUUAUAAAUCUCAAAAAGAGAUCAUGUGGACUGGAGCAGGAAAAGACUUAUACAUUAGAUUCAAGGCCUUCAGUCAUUCACGCUAACAUUUAUAUUAGCACUAUCUAAAUGUCUCCAAUUAAUUGUAUCGGAUUUUUUUCUUCUUCACAGUAAAAGAGUAGCAGCAAAUCCUGCUUCCUACUUUCAUUCUGCAUUUGUGAUUAAACAUUUGUUUAGUGAUCUGACUUUGGAAUACUUGGACAGGAGUGCUGAAAUACUUUGCAUGCCAAGUUAUUCUUAAUUUAAACACUAGUUGUAAAGAUUACAGAGAAGUUAGUACAUGCUUUAACUUGAACACAUACACUCAUUGCCUUCCUUUUUUUUCCUCCAGGCAAAAUACAAAAUACUAAUGUUUACUCUAAUGUUCUGUUUGAAACAAAGAAACUAAAGAUUGCGUGCUGUAGCUUUCUAUAUUAAGAUUGUCAAUUGUGGCUUACAUUCGGAUAUAUCUCCUUUUGAUGUCAAAAGAUAGUUAUCAGAGAAGAGAACUGUUUUUCUUACAGCUCCUGAUCUAUAAUUAUUCUUCAGCUAUCUUAUUUUAGCAAGUCGCUAUAUGAAUUCUCCUGUUCUUCCAAUUUACAAUGCAAUUAUUAAAUUCCUAAACUGUCCAGAAAAAAAAGGGGGGGGGAUCUUAGUUUGUGGCAACAACAAAAACAUUAUGGUACCAUAAAGAUUAUUAUGGCAUAAA